CUUAAAUUGAAGAGUUUGAUCAUGGCUCAGAUUGAACGCUGGCGGCAGGCCUAACACAUGCAAGUCGGGCGGUAGCACAGGGGAGCUUGCUUCCUGGGUGACGAGCGGCGGACGGGUGAGUAAAGUCUGG
rnacentral:rRNA from 1 species